CCAAUCUUGCGCCAUCUCCUUCCUUUCACCGUCUCGAUCCAAUCUGCUCGCAUCCCCUCCGCCGCUCCUCUCCAGCAGCCCCCACGCUCCCACUCCCUCCCCGUCCACCCCCGCCGCCCUCACCAUCGACGCAACAACCACCGCCACCGCCGCCAUCAAGACCCCGGAGGAAGCCGCUGCAGCAGCGGUGGUGGAAGAGGCGCCGCCGACGCCGCAGGCAGCCGCGCUCGGUAGGAGCAACCACGCUCGUUAGGCGCCUCUGCACGGGACAAUUCUCCACAUGAUCCCGUGACGCAACCCAUCGACCCAUCUGAAAAACUCCGUGUCGUGCGGCUGCUCUUCUGGACGCUCUCGGCGCUGCUCGUCCAUGGCGUGAUCUCCGCUGCCGCUGCCUCCAACCAUGGUGACAUCUUGCUCCAGUUCUUCCACUUGGCUUACAGCUGGGCGGGUUCCGGGCUUCUGGCCGGAGCCAGCCACCGUGGCGCUCCUCUACCACGCACGCUGCAUCCUCCUCGAGACCAUGCCGCCCUUCUCUGUUUCCCUGAUGAGGCCACGGUCGUAGGCAUUUUGCGGCGCUGCUCCCGUCCAGAUGCUUUGUUGUGGCGCUCCUCCUCCCAUUCUCUCCAUUUAAAUGUUUGAGCAGGAAAUCAAUGGCACUUGCUGGCUGUGUAGGACUGGACAUGUUCAGCGUGUCUGCGUGUGUGGGAUUUCUCAAGUUCAAAGCUGACAUCGUCGAUGAGAAGACUGAACCCAAGGCUGAAGGUGGAGGAGGGCGUGGACGGGAUUUGGUCCAGCAUUGCACUCAGAGAUGCUCUAAUAUUUGUGGAGUCCUUGUUUCUUAUAUUAUAUUUUAUCACAUUGCCAUCAAAUUAAAUUGCUUGAUUGAGUAAAUAGCUUCGUAAUGUACUAGGAAAUCUUUGCUACCAUUAUUGGCAAGUUUUUGUAAGUAAUCUUUCUAGUCAAGCACUUGUGUAUCAUCUAUAGUAAUCUUAGGUUUUGCCAUUUUUCUCUUCUGAAUUUUCUCAUCUUGUUUUCAUAGGCUUGCUGGCUGCGUCUUCUAGCAUUGAAAAAUCUUCAUUUUUAGUUAAUACAAUAUUACGUGAAAUGCCUAUUAAUAGUGCUGCUUAUUGAAAGUACUACGUUACAGAACCUGUUUUGUUAAUUUUUACCAUCAAUGCAAAGACAAACAUGUAUUUGCGUGCUAAUUUUGCUACUUUAUUACAUUCUUGUUUGUUUUAGGAAAGUUCGUAUGCGCAUGAAAAAUUGUUGCAUUGUCUAAGGUCCAAUUCCAAACGACUUGAGGUGGAAUUCAUUUAAUUAGUUUUAUGGCACAUGCUAGUAAGUAUUUUGCAAUUCAUUUAGUUCCACUCUUUUUCAUCUUGCAGGUUUAGGUACUACAAUCAUGCCACUAGUUUGGGAGAGUGAGACGAAAAGGAGGGCAUUCCUCGCGGAACAUAAACGCAUGUGUGAUGUGUAUGCUAAGCUAAGGGGUGCAUUGAUUACAUGCAUUGGGAGGAGUUAGCCGCAAGACUUGAAGCAUGAGAGAGAGCAUUUGAAGAGAUACAAAAGAAGCAACAAGAAGAAUUGGAAGCUCUAAAGAAGAUCCAACAAGAGAAGAAUGAAGUCUGGGCAAAGAAGUAAAAGGAGACGGAUAAUCUGCUUGAUUUUCUCUAGAGGGCUCAAGCAACUUCGCAGGCAACUCUGCAGUCCUAGUCCAAACCAGAUGGUUCAUGAAAGCCAUCCUUACAUUGCAAUCAUCAGGAAAACAUAUGUGGUCUUUAGUUAAUAUUAGUUUUCAUCUUGUCUAUUAUUUGUGUCAAACUUGAGUCAAUCUUUUACCCUC